rnacentral:rRNA from 1 species
CCUACGGGUGGCAGCAGUGGGGAAUAUUGCACAAUGGGGGAUACCCUGAUGCAGCGACGCCGCGUGAGUGAAGAAGUAAUUCUUUAUGUAAAGCUCUAUCAGCAGGGAAGAAAAUGACGGUACCUGAAUAAGAAUCCCCGGCUCACUACGUGCCAGCAGCCGCGGUACUACGUAGGAGGCAAGCGUUAUCCGGAUUUACUGGGGGUAAAGGGAGCGUAGACGGCAGGGCAAGUCUGGAGUGAAAGGCGGGGGCUCAACCCUCGAACUGCUCUGGAAACUGGACGGCUGGAGUGCAGGAGAGGUAAGUGGAAUUCGUAGUGUAGCGGUGAAAUGCGUAGAUAUUAGGAGGAACACCAGUGGCGAAGGCGGCUUACUGGACUGUAACUGACGUUGAGGCUCGAAAGCGUGGGGAGCAAACAGGAUUAGAUACCCUUGUAGUC